AUUGAACGCUGGCGGCAGGCCUAACACAUGCAAGUCGAGCGGAGCGGCGGACGGGUGAGUAAUGCCUAGGAAUCUGCCUGGUAGUGGGGGAUAACGUCCGGAAACGGGCGCUAAUACCGCAUACUAUCAGAUGAGCCUAGGUCGGAUUAGCUAGUUGGUGGGGUAAAGGCCUACCAAGGCGACGAUCCGUAACUGGUCGGAGAGGAUGAUCAGUCACACGGGAACGUAGAAACGGUCGAGACUCCUACGGGAGGCAGCAGUGGGGAAUAUGGGACAAUGGGCGAAAGCCUGAGACAGCCAGGCAGUGUGUGUGAAGAAGGUUUUCGGAUUGUAAAGCACUUUAAGUUGGGAGGCGUGACCAACAGAAUAAGCACCGGCUAACUUCGUGCCAGAAGCCGCGGUAAUAC
rnacentral:rRNA from 1 species